AGGGGUAUAGCUCAGUUGGUAGAGCGGCGGUCUCCAAAACCGCAGGUCGCAGGUUCGAGUCCUGCUGCCCCUG
rnacentral:tRNA from 1 species